UGCAGUUCAUAAGACAAAACUACUUCACUGUACUUUAACUGUAAUUUGUGAAACUCUCCUCAGAAAGCCCCUACUGCAGCUGUACCAUCUUCGUCCUUGUCUGGUCCCGUCCCAUCUGAAACAGUGGUUCCUCCGUCGGCGUCAGUGGUUCCUCCGUCAGCGUCAGCGUCUGCUUCAGUGGCCCCUCCGACAGCAACAUCCCUGUAACCUUGGCAGGAUGAUACAUUGUUUUCAGAGGCUCUCGCCACUUUUGAAGCUGACACUGCCAUUGCCCCUCCACCAGACCCUCCACAGCAGCCACAGACAGACCCCGUUCCACCAUCGCAGGAACCUCCAUCUGGUCCUCGUAAGAGGACGUCAAAGUCUGCGGCACUGCCACAGCCACAGCCAAUAGAAGCCACUGUCAAGCAGCCUGAGGUAAUACAUGUACAAUACAGCUAAAUACUGUUUGAUAUGUUAAUGCAGCAGGAACAGCGUUACAGUCAGAGCACUCAGUGACUGGUACAUGACGGUUUUGUCUUUGUUCUUCCACCAGGUGUCAUUUGAGGGCUGGCACAAACAGUGGGAGUCCGGCCCUCAAGGUCUCCCCAGUGCUGACGUCAAGUGGCUGAAGGAGGACGCUGACAGGGGGUGUUGGGAAAAAUAACUUGCUGAGUACAUCACAUGUACAUUACAAAUAUAGCUAACUCCUACCCUAGCCUGAUGAGCACAUCACAUGGCAGACACAUUACAAUAUAGUCAACUCUUGCUCUAACCCAACGAACACAUAACACAAACAUGAUAAUAUAGUCAGGUCAAGGCCGGAGCCGAAGGCCCCAUUUCCCCAUCCAGGCAAAUGGUAGACACUCAGACAAUGCACCAGUCAUCCUCAAGAACGGGAGAGCCACAUUAAUUUAUCACACAGGAGACAUUUUGAGAGCUCUCCCCCGUUAGGAGGAACCAAGAGAUACACCUGCCCAUACCAGGGCCUGAGAGCCACAUUAAAUUAUCACGCAGGAGACACUUCGGGGGGGCACUCCCCCGUUUUAAUUUAUCACACAGGAGACACUUCGGGGGCACUCCCCCGUUAGG
rnacentral:lncRNA from 1 species